AAAGAAUUAGUUAAUAAAUAUAACAUAAAUAUGUCAAAUUUAAAUUAUUACCAAGUAAUAUUUUUUU
rnacentral:tRNA from 1 species